rnacentral:lncRNA from 1 species
CCUAGAAAAUAAUACUAGGUCAAGAAUCAUUGUUUCAAUCAGUGCGCUACUGCUGGUUGAACUAGUAACGUCAACAUAACAUCGUAAAUAUUUGACUAUUUGUGAGACCCCAGAUAGUCAUAUAUAUAAUAUAUAAUAAGGCUAAGACUCUUAAGUUGGCUAAAGUAUUUUGGCUGGUGGUUAGGUCCAAGAGAGUUAAGCAUACUAGAAUAGGAGUAGUCCUAAAAUAGAUGACCCGCUCGGGAGUUCCG